AAGUCGUAACAAGGUUUCCGUAGGUGAACCUGCGGAAGGAUCAUUAAAACGUAUCCAACGUUAACUAAUUGUGAACUCGUUUCUCCCUUGGUAUAGAAAAAUUGGUAGCUGUGAUAGCCAUUGAUGGGAUCUUGGCAACAAGGUCUGUCUUUCACAGUCAUUGAUAUUCGCAAGAGUAUCGACAAGAGUAUCUAUGCUGAGGCUAAUCUUUCUGUCACCAUCCUCCAUUCAAAGAAGGGACAGGGAGAGCUAUAACCAUAAACCACUAAUCACCAAUCAUUUUGCUAGUUGACUUUUUUAAUGUUAGUUCUUUAUGAAAGUAGAGAAUUACACGUUUAUUUAUUUGAACGUAAAAUACAACUCUUAGCAAUGGAUAUCUAGGUUCUC
rnacentral:misc_RNA from 1 species